rnacentral:tRNA from 1 species
CUGCGGUUGGGGCAGGUCCCCGGCCCCGGCUCCCUCCCGCGCCGCCUCAGGCAUUGGGCGCGAGAUCGGUGCCGGCGCCACGGC